UCUUUUGGAAGAGCGAAUUCUUAAAAUCUCACCUACCCAUAUAAGAAAACUUGAGACAAAUUGUAAGAGAGUCUUUGCACAGGAUUUUCUCGACUAAUGAAGGUUGAUCACUUUGCCAAGAUUUUCAGACAGAAGCAGCCUGCCGACUACUUUUCGAUGUGUUCCUUCUUCGUUUCUAUUCUUCUUCAUCUUCUUCUUCAAGUGAGCGAACGAAAAUACAAGAGGUGUUGAUUGGUCAUUUACAAAAUCCUUAUUUCUAUUCCUUACGAUCAGAUCAAAGCUAACCAUCACUUUAAUGACAAUAUUUGCAAUCAAUCAAAUUAAUUUAACAUCAGCAUUGGUGAAUUUAAUGUUCAGCAGCUCAGCAGCCCACUACGGACUAAAAGAUUUCUCCAAUUAGCAGAGUAAUUUUGGAUGAAGAUAAGACACGCCCGCGCUCUGCCGCGUCGAAGCGAUAAUAUCGCAAAUAACUAAUGCGUCCCACGUACACAUCGAUUCUUUGCCAGCCACUUGAACUACUCUGUAACUCCACGACCUAAAAGACAUCCACUUACUAUUUUAUGCACGUUAUUUUCAACGGGCAAUUAUUUAUUGAUUCGGAAAAUUGCUUUGUUUUUUGAUGAUAGAAGUCAAUAUCAUGGAGAUAUUUUUUAACUGGCAAUAAAUUGGUGACCAUCUGCAACGAUAACUGAAGAGAAAUAAAUACAUUGUUCAAAUAUGUUAUUUAACACUAAUGAUUACCUUAAAAAUGCAAGAAUUACCUCAACAGAUAUAUCUUUUAAAGCUUUAAACCCAUUCUUCGAAUGUGAGUGACAUUGACAGGCAGUUAUUUGUGAAAUAAAAUUGUCAAUUUCAAUCGUGGCGAGACUCGAUCACUUCUGUGGACGCAUCAGUCAUGUAUUUCGGGGACUGUCUAUUGAAAUUCCCAUAUCCAUUUCCAGGUUAUAGAAAAGUCCAGUUGUACAUAUUGAACUGAGCUUAUACCGUCAGAGCAUCAGUCUCGUUCAGUCAAUUCUGUUAUUCAUUCCAAAACUUCAUUUAUACGUUCAAAAAUGGUUUUA